rnacentral:tRNA from 1 species
GGGAGUGUAGCUCAGUUGGUAGAGCGUCCGCCUGAAAAGCGGAAGGUCUUUGGUUCGAGUCCAAACGCUGCCA